GCCUAAUCUCUGAUUUGGAAGCAAAAGCAGUGGAUAACACAAUCCUGCAAGCUGAUGAGAGCAAUGUUGGCAAGGAGCAAGAGAGUGGCAGAGAGGAAGUCAAGUCACCAGGAGAGUCUGUAAUCCUAGGUAUGCAAAGCCAAGGCAAACUGAAAGCCAAGGCCCCUGUGCAUGUAGUAAGAGACAUGAGAAGCCUGGUGAAAAACACAUAUAUAUCCUUCAAAGGCACGGGGGAAUCAGCCCAUAGAAUAGAUGGGAGUGCUCCUUUGUUUAACCCAUCAGUACACAAUUUAAGCAACAACAAGGGUGAAGGUAAGGGAAAGGGAUACAGAUCAGAAGAAAAACCCCUGGUACGGAAAGUCACUCCACCUCUUUUACUGGACAGAAGGAGGGAUCACUCUGCAACGAGAGGAUGCUCGACUAAGGUAAUGCCUCCCGUAGAAUCAAAUGACAAAAGUCAUAUUGUUGGAUUUACAAAGGUCAGCCCAAUUAGUAUAACCAAGGCAAACAGUAGUGCCUUGUCAAAGCCCUCAGAGACACAGGAUAGCCAAGUUGGCAUGAGUAAACCUGAUGUUGUAGUCAGCAAUACAAACUUGAAACCGACAAACAGGACAGACCUGGCACUGCAAGCUAAAGAGGAGGCCUCUACUGACAAGCCUACAAAAGGAGACUUGAACAAGGCAGAGCAUGAGAUGACCAUCAGCUCUGACAAACUCUUCCCAGUAGCUCUGCAAUAUUGUCCACCCACAGCAAUUUCUGAGCAACAGGACUAUGGCAAGAUAAUCAGUGAUGGCCUCCAGACCCCAUGCCUUCCUCCCAGGUCACAGAGUUCAGUGGGGCCUCUGUCUGCUUGCGUCCUAACAGUUGCUUCAACACCCAUGGUUCCCUCAUAUUAUUACAAACCUAAUCCGCCAAUCCACUACCAGACAAUCUCUCCUCAUAUUGGAGCUGUUCAUGGUUAUGUUCAAGGGCCUGUCAUGUUUCAAACACCAUUUUACAACCAGCUCUCUGCAUCAAACAGUCACACCCCCCUACUGAGAUCCCUCUCUGAGGAUGGAAAAAUGUUUGUGCAGCCAACAGAUGGCUCAACCAGUCAAACUCAGAACGGGGAAGCAGAGCUGAAAAUAUCUUCUCCAGAAAGUCAACACAAUACAAUCCUUGUUGCUCCCAUGAGUGCAGAAGCCAGGCUUGGGGCUACAGGUGUGCUGUAUCCAGAAGCCGGAGGAAGUGUCGCAGCAGGACAAGCCCCCCGCCAACUGUUGCUCGACCCGGAAACCGGCCGCUAUUUCUAUGUGGACAUGCCUCAGCUGCCACAGCGCAAGAUGCUAUUUGAUCCAGAAACUUGCCAGUAUGUUGAGGUCCUACUGCCACAGCAGACGCUUCCCAGUGCCGUUUUGCCCACACCCUGUGCCAUACCAUUCGCCUCUCUUCACAUCCCACCCAUGUAUACCCCACAGUGCUUACCUUACGUACAGUCACAUCCUCAGGUGCUCCCACCACCAGGACCAUGAAACCUGACAGGACCUAUAGACCGGCGGUUCUCAAUUCCAGUCCUUGCGCCGCCCAGCUCUGCAUAUUUUGUAUGUCUCUCUUUGUUAACACUCCUG
ensembl:lncRNA